rnacentral:rRNA from 2 species
UUAAAAUGAGAGUUUGAUCCUGGCUCAGGACGAACGCUGGCGGCGUGCCUAAUACAUGCAAGUCGAACGAAACUUUCUUACACCGAAUGCUUGCAUUCACUCGUAAGAAUGAGUGGCGUGGACGGGUGAGUAACACGUGGGUAACCUGCCUAAAAGAAGGGGAUAACACUUGGAAACAGGUGCUAAUACCGUAUAUCUCUAAGGAUCGCAUGAUCCUUAGAUGAAAGAUGGUUCUNGCUAUCGCUUUUAGAUGGACCCGCGGCGUAUUAACUAGUUGGUGGGGUAACGGCCUACCAAGGUGAUGAUACGUAGCCGAACUGAGAGGUUGAUCGGCCACAUUGGGACUGAGACACGGCCCNAACUCCUACGGGAGGCAGCAGUAGGGAAUCUUCCACAAUGGACGCAAGUCUGAUGGAGCAACGCCGCGUGAGUGAAGAAGGUCUUCGGAUCGUAAAACUCNGUUGUUAGAGAAGAACUCGAGUGAGAGUAACUGUUCAUUCGAUGACGGUAUCUAACCAGCAAGUCACGGCUAACUACGUGCCAGCAGCCGCGGUAAUACGUAGGUGGCAAGCGUUGUCCGGAUUUAUUGGGCGUAAAGGGAACGCAGGCGGUCUUUUAAGUCUGAUGUGAAAGCCUUCGGCUUAACCGGAGUAGUGCUAUGGAAACUGGAAGACUUGAGUGCAGAAGAGGAGAGUGGAACUCCAUGUGUAGCGGUGAAAUGCGUAGAUAUAUGGAAGAACACCAGUGGCGAAAGCGGCUCUCUGGUCUGUAACUGACGCUGAGGUUCGAAAGCGUGGGUAGCAAACAGGAUUAGAUACCCUGGUAGUCCACGCCGUAAACGAUGAAUGCUAGGUGUUGGAGGGUUUCCGCCCUUCAGUGCCGCAGCUAACGCAAUAAGCAUUCCGCCUGGGGAGUACGACCGCAAGGUUGAAACUCAAAGGAAUUGACGGGGGCNNGCACAAGCGGUGGAGCAUGUGGUUUAAUUCGAANNAACGCGAAGAACCUUACCAGGUCUUGACAUCCUUUGACCACCUAAGAGAUUAGGCUUUCCCUUCGGGGACAAAGUGACAGGUGGNGCAUGGCUGUCGUCAGCUCGUGUCGUGAGAUGUUGGGUUAAGUCCCGCAACGAGCGCAACCCUUGUUGUCAGUUGCCAGCAUUAAGUUGGGCACUCUGGCGAGACUGCCGGUGACAAACCGGAGGAAGGUGGGGACGACGUCAAGUCAUCAUGCCCCUUAUGACCUGGGCUACACACGUGCUACAAUGGACGGUACAACGAGUCGCGAGACCGCGAGGUUUAGCUAAUCUCUUAAAGCCGUUCUCAGUUCGGAUUGUAGGCUGCAACUCGCCUACAUGAAGUCGGAAUCGCUAGUAAUCGCGA